UCCGUAGGUGAACCUGCGGAAGGAUCAUUAACGUGGGGCUCCGGCCCCGCCGAGAUAGAACCCUUGCCUUUUCGAGCACCACACGUUUCCUCGGCAGGCCCGCCUGCCAGCGGGGACCAAACACAAACCCUUGAAUCACCUGUAACAGUCUGAGAAAACAAAACAAAAAUCAAAACUUUCAACAACGGAUCUCUUGGUUCUGGCAUCGAUGAAGAACGCAGCGAAAUGCGAUAAGUAGUGUGAAUUGCAGAAUUCAGUGAAUCAUCGAAUCUUUGAACGCACAUUGCGCCCUUUGGUAUUCCUUAGGGCAUGCCUGUUCGAGCGUCAUUUAACCCCUCAAGCUCAGCUUGGUGUUGGGCGUCCUGUCCCCACGACCCCCCUCGGGGGCGGGGGACUGCGCCUCAAUCAGAUUGGCGGCCGGUACGUUGGCUUCGAGCGCAGCAGAAACGCGAACUCGGGGCCCGGCGAGCCGGCUCCCACAAGCCACACAUCUAACUUUUGACCUCGGAUCAGGUAGGGAUACCCGCUGAACUUAA
rnacentral:rRNA from 1 species